GUGUUUUCUUCAGUUUCACAUAAACUAGUUGAAACAAUGCAGGGAAGAUUAGUAUGGUCCCUGCACAAGGGUGACAGGCGGAAUUGUAAAAUGUUCCAUAUUUUG
ensembl:snRNA U6 U6 spliceosomal RNA